GACGAACGCUGGCGGCGUGCUUAACACAUGCAAGUCGAACGGAAAGGCCCUGCUUUUGUGGGGUGCUCGAUUGGCGAACGGGUGAGUAACACGUGAGUAACCUGCCCUUGACUUUGGGAUAACUUCAGGAAACUGGGGCUAAUAUCGGAUAGGAGCUCCUGCUGCAUGGGGGGGGUUGGAAAGUUUCGGCGGUUGGGGAUGGACUCGCGGCUUAUCAGCUUGUUGGUGGGGUAGUGGCUUACCAAGGCUUUGACGGGUAGCCGGCCUGAGAGGGUGACCGGCCACAUUGGGACUGAGAUACGGCCCAGACUCCUACGGGAGGCAGCAGUGGGGAAUAUUGCAGAAUGGGCGGAAGCCUGAUGCAGCAACGCCGCGUGCGGGAUGACGGCCUUCGGGUUGUAAACCGCUUUCGCCUGUGACGAGGCGUGAGUGACGGUAAUGGGUAAAGAAGCACCGGCUAACUACGUG
rnacentral:rRNA from 1 species